ACGGAAGGCAGCAGUGAGGAAUAUUGGUCAAUGGUCGGAAGACUGAACCAGCCAAGUAGCGUGAAGGAUGACUGCCCUAUGGGUUGUAAACUUCUUUUAUGCGGGAAUAAAAAGGAUUACGUGUAGUCUGUUGCAUGUACCGCAUGAAUAAGGAUCGGCUAAUUCCGUGCCAGCAGCCGCGGUAAUACGGAAGAUCCGAGCGUUAUCCGGAUUUAUUGGGUUUAAAGGGAGCGUAGGCGGGCCUUUAAGUCAGUGGUCAAAGCGUGUGGCUCAACCAUACCACGCCGUUGAUACUGGAGGCCUUGAGUGCACAUAAGGAUGGUGGAAUUCAUGGUGUAGCGGUGAAAUGCUUAGAUAUCAUGAAGAACUCCGAUUGCGAAGGCAGCUGACUGUAGCGUAACUGACGCUGAAGCUCGAAAGUGCGGGUAUCGAACAGGAUUAGAUACCCUGGUA
rnacentral:rRNA from 1 species